UCCUAUUGCCAUGGUGAUUUCCUAUCUCCCUCUAAGAUAAUGACCCUAGAUGAUACAGGAAGUCCUGGCUGCACUUUCCCUGGUAAUUUACCCUCCCCCACUGCCUGUGGCUACAUUUCACUGACUCAUAAUUUCCAAGUAUGAUCAGCAUGCUAACAGGAAAAAUACAGUCACUGGGCAAAGGAACAGCCCUGAAGAGCUGGCCAAGACCUCUCCAGUAACCAGCACCACUGAUGGCAGAAAGGAAAUAAGGACAGCAACAAUAACAAGAGCAGUACAAAAACCUAGAGUACAAGGACAUUUUAAGAAUCACAGCCUGGUUUGUUUGUUGCUUCCUCACCACCCCAAUAAUGUCCCAGUUCACACCAAGCUGAAUGGCAAGGUCCAUUCAGUUUCUGCUCUACUCUGCUUCCUGGUUGCCAUGACUUGAACAGUUCUGCUCCACUAAUCCUUCCUUGCCAUGAUGGACUGAAAACUCUGAAACUAAGAGCUACCAUAAAUUCUAACCCUUCUUAAACUGUUUAAGUCAGGUGAUUUGACACACUGAUGGAAAGUCCACCUACUACAGAAUCUUUACCAGACCCACCCCCCCUCCUAGAAUGGACACUGAGCUACUACUACACCAAAAUUCCAGCCCAACUUCCUUACAGACGCUCCAGCUCAACCAAAACACGAUGUGGUCAAACCAACUUGCCUCCACUGAAUUCAACUAUGACAUUCUGACACUGGGGCUCUGGCAACCAACUCUAAUAUAAGGAAAGAUGUUUUCCAAAGAAAUAAAUUCAAAGCAAAAUCAA